rnacentral:rRNA from 1 species
GGAGGAUCCAAGCGUUAUCCGGAAUUAUUGGGUUUAAAGGGUCCGCAGGCGGUCUAUUAAGUCAGAUGUAAAAUCCUACCGCUCAACGGUAGAAUGUCCUUUGAUACUGGUAGACUUGAGUUAUUGUGAAGUAGUUAGAAUGUGUAGUGUAGCGGUGAAAUGCAUAGAUAUUACACAGAAUACCAAUUGCGAAGGCAGAUUACUAACAAUAUACUGACGCUGAGGGACGAAAGCGUGGGUAGCGAACAGGAUUAGAUACCCUGGUAGUCCACGCCGUAAACGAUGGACACUAGCUGCUUGGCUAACAUUGGUUAGUUGAGUGGCUAAGCGAAAGUGAUAAGUGACCCACCUGGGGAGUACGGUCGCAAGACUGAAACUCAAAGGAAUUGACGGGGGCCCGCACAAGCGGUGGAGCAUGUGGUUUAAUUCGAUGAUACGCGAGGA